rnacentral:rRNA from 1 species
UGGGGAAUCUUGCGCAAUGGCCGAAAGGCUGACGCAGCGACGCCGCGUGCGGGAGGACGCCCUUCGGGGUGUAAACCGCUGUCAGGGGGGACGAAGACCACGGGGAGGCAAUGCCUCGGGGUUUGACGGUACCUCCAGAGGAAGCACCGGCUAACUCCGUGCCAGCAGCCGCGGUAAUACGGAGGGUGCAAGCGUUGUCCGGAUUUAUUGGGUUUAAAGGGUGCGUAGGCGGCUUAUUAAGUCAGGGGUGAAAGACUGCAGCUCAACUGUAGCAGUGCCUUUGAUACUGAUGAGCUUGAGUACAGAUGAGGCUGGCGGAAUGGGUGGUGUAGCGGUGAAAUGCAUAGAUACCAUCCAGAACACCGAUUGCGAAGGCUGCCGGCUAAACUGUAACUGACGCUGAGGCACGAAAGCGUGGGGAUCGAA